CCUGUGGCUUUGUGGCCAGAAGCACUCCUGGAUUUAUCAGCAUAGAAGAGAUGAACCCAGGUAACCAGCCAGGUGGCUUCUUGAGAUGAUAAAUUGGAGGAAGAUCAGGAGGUAGCAACACCACAACCACUUCUCACCUGGCUGACCAUAAGCUUCAUUCUACUGUGUGAUCUUAAGAUGAAGGCAGAAAC
rnacentral:lncRNA from 1 species